CCUUUGUACACACCGCCCGUCGCUACUACCGAUUGAAUGGCCUAGUGAGACGUCCGGACUGGCCCAGAGAGGUGGGCAACUACCACUCAGGGCCGGAAAGUUCUUCAAACUCGGUCAUUUAGAGG
rnacentral:rRNA from 1 species